CUCACACUUAUAUACAUUCAACAAAACAGUGGGAGGAGCUGAAGAGGAAAUGGCAGAAAGAUGGAAACACAGUGAGACAGAGUUGAAGUCCUCAGUCCUGCCAGUUGAGCUUCUGACUUCUUCUUCAUACAAAUCAGCAGACAUUUCUGCUGGUUGAUAACAUUCAACAUGAUCCGGCCUCAUCUCAUCAUUCACAUCAUCAUCUGGAUUAAAGGAGUUUUCCCCAGUAAAGAAAUGCAAGUUCUUCAGUCUCCAGCUGAGCUGCUGAUGCCAAUGAAUGAUGAAGUCAAACUGACCUUCACACAUAAAAUUGAAAAUUAUAACUAUAUUCUGUGGUAUCAGCGCUCAAAGGGAGACACUGCCCUGAAGCUGAUCGGCUACAUGUAUUACAGCAGUCCAACUAUUGAGCCUUCUUUUAAAGGCCACUUCAAUGUGAGCGGGAAUGGAGCGAAUACGGCAUAUCUUCACAUCCUGAGCCUGAGACAUCCUGAACACGAUGCAGAAUAUUUUGGCGCAGCAAGUUAG